rnacentral:rRNA from 1 species
UUGAUCCUGGCUCAGGAUGAACGCCGGCGGUGUGCCUAAUACAUGCAAGUCGUACGCACUGGCCCAACUGAUUGAUGGUGCUUGCACCUGAUUGACGUUGGAUCACCAGUGAGUGGCGGACGGGUGAGUAACACGUAGGUAACCUGCCCCGGAGCGGGGGAUAACAUUUGGAAACAGAUGCUAAUACCGCAUAACAACAAAAGCCACAUGGCUUUUGUUUGAAAGAUGGCUUUGGCUAUCACUCUGGGAUGGACCUGCGGUGCAUUAGCUAGUUGGUAAGGUAACGGCUUACCAAGGCGAUGAUGCAUAGCCGAGUUGAGAGACUGAUCGGCCACAAUGGAACUGAGACACGGUCCAUACUCCUACGGGAGGCAGCAGUAGGGAAUCUUCCACAAUGGGCGCAAGCCUGAUGGAGCAACACCGCGUGAGUGAAGAAGGGUUUCGGCUCGUAAAGCUCUGUUGUUGGAGAAGAACGUGCGUGAGAGUAACUGUUCACGCAGUGACGGUAUCCAACCAGAAAGUCACGGCUAACUACGUGCCAGCAGCCGCGGUAAUACGUAGGUGGCAAGCGUUAUCCGGAUUUAUUGGGCGUAAAGCGAGCGCAGGCGGUUGCUUAGGUCUGAUGUGAAAGCCUUCGGCUUAACCGAAGAAGUGCAUCGGAAACCGGGCGACUUGAGUGCAGAAGAGGACAGUGGAACUCCAUGUGUAGCGGUGGAAUGCGUAGAUAUAUGGAAGAACACCAGUGGCGAAGGCGGCUGUCUGGUCUGCAACUGACGCUGAGGCUCGAAAGCAUGGGUAGCGAACAGGAUUAGAUACCCUGGUAGUCCAUGCCGUAAACGAUGAGUGCUAGGUGUUGGAGGGUUUCCGCCCUUCAGUGCCGGAGCUAACGCAUUAAGCACUCCGCCUGGGGAGUACGACCGCAAGGUUGAAACUCAAAGGAAUUGACGGGGGCCCGCACAAGCGGUGGAGCAUGUGGUUUAAUUCGAAGCUACGCGAAGAACCUUACCAGGUCUUGACAUCUUGCGCUAACCUUAGAGAUAAGGCGUUCCCUUCGGGGACGCAAUGACAGGUGGUGCAUGGUCGUCGUCAGCUCGUGUCGUGAGAUGUUGGGUUAAGUCCCGCAACGAGCGCAACCCUUGUUACUAGUUGCCAGCAUUAAGUUGGGCACUCUAGUGAGACUGCAGGUGACAAACCGGAGGAAGGUGGGGACGACGUCAGAUCAUCAUGCCCCUUAUGACCUGGGCUACACACGUGCUACAAUGGACGGUACAACGAGUCGCAAGCUCGCGAGAGUAAGCUAAUCUCUUAAAGCCGUUCUCAGUUCGGACUGUAGGCUGCAACUCGCCUACACGAAGUCGGAAUCGCUAGUAAUCGCGGAUCAGCAUGCCGCGGUGAAUACGUUCCCGGGCCUUGCACACACCGCCCGUCA